CCUACGGGAGGCAGCAGUGGGGAAUAUUGCACAAUGGGGGAAACCCUGAUGCAGCGACGCCGCGUGAGCGAAGAAGUAAUCCGUUAUGUAAAGCCUUAUCAGCAGGGAAGAAAAUGACGGUACCUGCGUAAGAAGCCCCGGCUAACUACGUGCCAGCAGCCGCGGUAAUACGGAGGGGGCAAGCGUUAUCCGGAUUCACUGGGUGUAAAGAGUGCGUAGACGGCAGUGCAAGUCUGGAGUGAAAGGCGGGGGCUCAACCCCCGGACUGCUCUGGAAACUGUACGGCUGGAGUGCAGUAGAGGUAAGUGGAAUUCCUGGUGUAGCGGUGAAAUGCGUAGAUAUUAGGAGGAACACCAGUGGCGAAGGCGGCUUACUGGACUGUAACUGACGUUGAGGCACGAAAGCGUGGGGAGCAAACGGGAUUAGAUACCCGAGUAGUC
rnacentral:rRNA from 1 species